rnacentral:rRNA from 1 species
CCCCCCCUUCUAACACGGACCAAGGAGUCUAACAUGUGCGCGAGUCAUUGGGACCCGCAUGCCUAAAGGCGAAAUGAAAGUGAAGGUCGGUCUUAGCGCCGACCGAGGGAGGAUGAGCCGCGUCAAGAUGCGACUCCGCACUCCCGGGGCGUCUCGUUCUCAUUGCGAGAAGAGGCGCACCCAGAGCGUACACGUUGGGACCCGAAAGAUGGUGAACUAUGCCUGGUCAGGACGAAGUCAGGGGAAACCCUGAUGGAGGUCCGUAGCGAUUCUGACGUGCAAAUCGAUCGUCGGAACUGGGUAUAGGGGCGAAAGACUAAUCGAACCAUCUAG